UGGGGAAUUUUGGACAAUGGGGGAAACCCUGAUCCAGCCAUCCCGCGUGUGCGAUGAAGGCCUUCGGGUUGUAAAGCACUUUUGGCAGGAAAGAAACGUCAUGGGUUAAUACCCCGUGAAACUGACGGUACCUGCAGAAUAAGCACCGGCUAACUACGUGCCAGCAGCCGCGGUAAUACGUAGGGUGCAAGCGUUAAUCGGAAUUACUGUGCGUAAAGCGUGCGCAGGCGGUUCGGAAAGAAAGAUGUGAAAUCCCAGAGCUCAACUUUGGAACUGCAUUAUUAACUACCGGGCUAGAGUGUGUCAGAGGGAGGUGGAAUUCCGCGUGUAGCAGUAAAAUGCGUAGAUAUGCGGAGGAACACCGAUGGCGAAGGCAGCCUCCUGGGAUAACACGGACGCUCAUGCACGAAAGCGUGGGGAGCAAACAGG
rnacentral:rRNA from 1 species